GCAGAGACAUAGGCAGAGGGAGAAGAAGCAGGCUCCAUGCACCGGGAGCCCGACGUGGGAUUCGAUCUCGGGUCUCCAGGAUCGCGCCCUGGGCCAAAGGCAGGCGCCAAACCACUGGCCACCCGGGGAUCCCCAGAUGCUAUUUUAAUUUGAAGUAUGACGUUUAAUUUUACUUGAAACUGAAGGAAGAGUUGACUUUCAAGUCAUGUUUCUUGACCACAAUUACCACCUUACUUGUUGAAAGGUACCUCUGAGAGUAAACAAAAAUGGUGAAAAGCAUUAAGAUAUUCAGUCAUUUUUUUUAAAUGAUACAUUUGAAUUGUGUGUGUACGCACACGUGCAUGAUCCUUUCCACUUGCCAAUCUCCCUUGCCCUGCCUCCUGACUUUUGUUACUUAUUUAAUAUUGUUACAUUGUCCAGGAUUAUAAGAAACAUAUUCUGUUCUGUAGAAAUAUAAUUGCAGUUACUUGGUAUACAUUGUAGAUUUAAAUGCAUUCCAAGCCUUUUAUCAAGGAUUCUCCAUUGCAAGCUCUUCAUUUCAAUUCAUCUCUUCAUGGACUGAGUUUCAUCGCUAAGCUGUUUUAUCAAGAAGAGUUUUGGAUGUUUAAGAAUGCCUGCCUGUUGCCUGUACACUGGAACCAGAUCUUGGCCAGGCUCAUGGAACCCCUGCCUCCCUGAGUUGGAAGCAUCUCUGCUCUUCCAAGGUGCUUGUGACCAAAGAAGAUUCUCUGGAAAAAAAAAAUAUGUCAAUUGUUCAGUAACCAGAGAGCUAUGGCCUAAGUGAAGGACUUCAAAUGGUCACAUGGUAGAGAGGCCAGGUGAUGUGCAGCUGGCCAGCCAGCCUUUUCCAGCAUGGCUUUCAGCCCUGAAGGCUGAACGGAUGGGACACAAGCAGGUGAGUGGAAGCCCCACCUGGGGACACACUAGAGAGAUGAGAAGUUAAAAUGUUGUGCUUGUUGGGGAAAAUGUGACCUUCAAAGAUUCGAGAGAGGACACAUGCUUCAUGCUGGCCAAGGCAUUUAAGGAAGUAAGCCAUCAGGACAGGAGACAGCUAACUAGGGAGAAGCAAAUCCACAUGCAGAGUGAUGGUUUUCUUUUGUUUCUUUUUUUAAAGAGAUUUUAUUUAUUCAUGAGAGACACACAGAGAGAGGCAGAGACACAGGCAGAGGGAGAAACGGGCUCCCUAGAGCCUAAUGCGGGACUCGAUCCCAGGACCUCAGGAUCAUACCCUGAGCCAAAGGCAGAUGCUCUACCACUGAGCCACUCAAGAGUCCCCAGAGUGAUGGCUUUCAACUCGGGCCCAGAAGAGCCAUGAAGAAGGGUGGAGAGGAGAAUGGGUCCAGUUGGAGGGGCUGUACCCCCUCCCCACAGACAGCUCCAUUCCAUCUGCCAUAUAUGAUGGGCUUUCACUUCAAGGAAGGGUUCCUCUGCAACUAAAAAUAAGCCUGGAAACCACACCUCUGGUGAGAAUCCAUUCAGAGGGACAAACUGGAUCUGGAAAGGGCUGCUGCUGAAAGGAAUCCAGAGGAAUCAGUGAGUCUGAGUCAAGAUAGCUGAGAGGUAAGGUUUUACCUGCAACCAAGGGGUUGGCCAGGGAAAAUAGAGGCAGGAGUUCAAGGAAACUGACAGAAAUUACUCUAAGUUGAAUUCAGAAUAGAAAUAAAAACAAAUUAGCAAUAAAGAACAGACACACACAAGAAUGAGGCCAUCUGACUGAAGAAUGAAAAUAGAACUAAGGAUCUGGUUAAUGUACAAAACCCAAUCUAGGGACACCUGGGUGGCUCAGUGGUUGAGCAUCUCCCUUUGGUUCAGCUCAUGAUCCUGGGGUCUUUGGAUGAGUCUCGCAUCGGGCUCCCCACAGGGAGCCUGCUUCUCCCCCUGCCUCUGUCUCUGCCUCUCAUGAAUAAAUAAAUAAAAUCUAAAAAAAAAAAAAAAAA
rnacentral:lncRNA from 1 species